CAGUAGCCACGGUAAUACGAAGGGGGCUAGCGUUGUUCGGAAUUACUGGGCGUAAAGCGCACGUAGGCGGACAUUUAAGUCAGGGGUGAAAUCCCGGGGCUCAACCUCGGAACUGCCUUUGAUACUGGGUGUCUUGAGUGUGGAAGAGGUAAGUGGAAUUGCGAGUGUAGAGGUGAAAUUCGUAGAUAUUCGCAGGAACACCAGUGGCGAAGGCGGCUUACUGGUCCACAACUGACGCUGAGGUGCGAAAGCGUGGGGAGCAAACAGGAUUAGAUACCCCCGUAGUCCCUGUCUCUUAUAC
rnacentral:rRNA from 1 species